rnacentral:rRNA from 1 species
UGUGAACUCGAAGAGUAGGGCGGGACACGUGGUAUCCUGUCUGAAUAUGGGGGGACCAUCCUCCAAGGCUAAAUACUCCUGACUGACCGAUAGUGAACCAGUACCGUGAGGGAAAGGCGAAAAGAACCCCGGCGAGGGGAGUGAAAAAGAACCUGAAACCGUGUACGUACAAGCAGUGGGAGCACCUUCGGGUGUGACUGCGUACCUUUUGUAUAAUGGGUCAGCGACUUAUAUUCUGUAGCAAGGUUAACCGUAUAGGGGAGCCGCAGGGAAACCGAGUCUUAACUGGGCGUUAAGUUGCAGGGUAUAGACCCGAAACCCGGUGAUCUAGCCAUGGGCAGGUUGAAGGUUGGGUAACACUAACUGGAGGACCGAACCGACUAAUGUUGAAAAAUUAGCGGAUGACUUGUGGCUGGGGGUGAAAGGCCAAUCAAACCGGGAGAUAGCUGGUUCUCCCCGAAAGCUAUUUAGGUAGCGCCUCGUGAACUCAUCUUCGGGGGUAGAGCACUGUUUCGGCUAGGGGGUCAUCCCGACUUACCAACCCGAUGCAAACUACGAAUACCGAAGAAUGUUAUCACGGGAGACACACGGCGGGUGCUAACGUCCGUCGUGAAGAGGGAAACAACCCAGACCGCCAGCUAAGGUCCCAAAGUCAUGGUUAAGUGGGAAACGAUGUGGGAAGGCACAGACAGCCAGGAUGUUGGCUUAGAAGCAGCCAUCAUUUAAAGAAAGCGUAAUAGCUCACUGGUCGAGUCGGCCUGCGCGGAAGAUGUAACGGGGCUAAACCAUGCACCGAAGCUGCGGCAGCGACACUAUGUGUUGUUGGGUAGGGGAGCGUUCUGUAAGCCUGCGAAGGUGUGCUGUGAGGCAUGCUGGAGGUAUCAGAAGUGCGAAUGCUGACAUAAGUAACGAUAAAGCGGGUGAAAAGCCCGCUCGCCGGAAGACCAAGGGUUCCUGUCCAACGUUAAUCGGGGCAGGGUGAGUCGACCCCUAAGGCGAGGCCGAAAGGCGUAGUCGAUGGGAAACAGGUUAAUAUUCCUGUACUUGGUGUUACUGCGAAGGGGGGACGGAGAAGGCUAUGUUAGCCGGGCGACGGUUGUCCCGGUUUAAGCAUGUAGGCUGAUUGUCCAGGCAAAUCCGGAUAAUCAAGGCUGAGGUGUGAUGACGAGGCACUACGGUGCUGAAGUAACAAAUGCCCUGCUUCCAGGAAAAGCCUCUAAGCAUCAGGUAACAUCAAAUCGUACCCCAAACCGACACAGGUGGUCAGGUAGAGAAUACCAAGGCGCUUGAGAGAACUCGGGUGAAGGAACUAGGCAAAAUGGUGCCGUAACUUCGGGAGAAGGCACGCUGGUGUGUAGGUGAAGCCCCUGCGGGUGGAGCUGAGACCAGUCGAAGAUACCAGCUGGCUGCAACUGUUUAUUAAAAACACAGCACUGUGCAAACACGAAAGUGGACGUAUACGGUGUGACGCCUGCCCGGUGCCGGAAGGUUAAUUGAUGGGGUUAUCCGUAAGGAGAAGCUCUUGAUCGAAGCCCCGGUAAACGGCGGCCGUAACUAUAACGGUCCUAAGGUAGCGAAAUUCCUUGUCGGGUAAGUUCCGACCUGCACGAAUGGCGUAAUGAUGGCCAGGCUGUCUCCACCCGAGACUCAGUGAAAUUGAACUCGCUGUGAAGAUGCAGUGUACCCGCGGCAAGACGGAAAGACCCCGUGAACCUUUACUAUAGCUUGACACUGAACAUUGAGCCUUGAUGUGUAGGAUAGGUGGGAGGCUUUGAAGCGUGGACGCCAGUCUGCGUGGAGCCAACCUUGAAAUACCACCCUUUAAUGUUUGAUGUUCUAACGUUGGCCCCUUACCGGGGUUGCGGACAGUGUCUGGUGGGUAGUUUGACUGGGGCGGUCUCCUCCCAAAGCGUAACGGAGGAGCACGAAGGUUAGCUAAUCCUGGUCGGACAUCAGGAGGUUAGUGCAAUGGCAUAAGCUAGCUUGACUGCGAGCGUGACGGCGCGAGCAGGUGCGAAAGCAGGUCAUAGUGAUCCGGUGGUUCUGAAUGGAAGGGCCAUCGCUCAACGGAUAAAAGGUACUCCGGGGAUAACAGGCUGAUACCGCCCAAGAGUUCAUAUCGACGGCGGUGUUUGGCACCUCGAUGUCGGCUCAUCACAUCCUGGGGCUGAAGUAGGUCCCAAGGGUAUGGCUGUUCGCCAUUUAAAGUGGUACGCGAGCUGGGUUUAGAACGUCGUGAGACAGUUCGGUCCCUAUCUGCCGUGGGCGCUGGAGAAUUGAGGGGGGCUGCUCCUAGUACGAGAGGACCGGAGUGGACGCAUCACUGGUGUUCGGGUUGUCAUGCCAAUGGCACUGCCCGGUAGCUAAAUGCGGAAGAGAUAAGUGCUGAAAGCAUCUAAGCACGAAACUUGCCCCGAGAUGAGUUCUCCCUGAGACUUUAAGUCUCCUGAAGGAACGUUGAAGACGACGACGUUGAUAGGCCGGGUGUGUAAGCGCAGCGAUGCGUUGAGCUAACCGGUACUAAUGAACCGUGAGGCUUAACCUUACAACGCCGAAG